rnacentral:rRNA from 1 species
UACGUAGGUGACCAGCGUUGUCCGGAUUUACUGGGCGUAAAGAGCGCGCAGGCGGUCGUUCAAGUCGAGUGUGAAAGCCCCCCGGCUCAACUGGGGAGGGUCAUUCGAUACUGAUCGACUGGAAGGCAGGAGAGGGAAGCGGAAUUCCCGGUGUAGUGGUGAAAUGCGUAGAUAUCGGGAGGAACACCAGUGGCGAAGGCGGCUUCCUGGCCUGUUCUUGACGCUGAGGCGCGAAAGCUAGGGGAGCAAACGGGG